rnacentral:misc_RNA from 1 species
GAUGAAGAACGCAGUGAACUGCGAUAAGUAAUGUGAAUUGCAGAAUUCCGUGAAUCAUCGAAUCUUUGAACGCACAUUGCGCCCCCUGGUAUUCCGGGGGGCAUGCCUGUCCGAGCGUCAUUGCAACCUUCAAGCGCGGCUUGUGUGUUGGGUCUCGUCCCCCGUGGACGGGCCCGAAAGGCAGUGGCGGCGUCCCGACAUGGUGCCCGAGCGUAUGGGAAUCCUCUUCCGCUCGAAUCGGCCCAUGCGGCGCUGGUCGUAACCAAAUUUUUUACCGGUUGACCUCGGAUCAGGUAGGGAUACCCGCUGAACUUAAGCAUAUCAAUAGCGGAGGA